rnacentral:tRNA from 1 species
GGCGAGUUACCCAAGCGGCCAAAGGGAUCUGACUGUAAAUCAGCUGUCUACGACUUCGGGGGUUCGAAUCCCUCACUCGCCACCGAGA